UACGUAGGGUACAAGCGUUAAUCGGAAUUACUGGGCGUAAAGCGUGCGCAGGCGGUGAUGUAAGACAGAUGUGAAAUCCCCGGGCUUAACCUGGGAAUUGCGCUCGAAACUACGGAGCUGGAGUAUGGCAGAGGGAGGUGGAAUUCCACGUGUAGCGGUGAAAUGCGUAGAGAUGUGGAGGAACACCAAUGGCGAAGGCAGCCUCCUGGGCCAAUACUGACACUCAUGCACGAAAGCGUGGGGAGCAAACAGG
rnacentral:rRNA from 1 species